rnacentral:rRNA from 1 species
UACGUAGGGGGCAAGCGUUGUCCGGAAUUAUUGGGCGUAAAGCGCGCGCAGGCGGCUUUUUAAGUCUGGUGUUUAAACCCAGGGCUCAACCUUGGGUCGCACCGGAAACUGGAAGGCUGGAGUGUAGGAGAGGAAAGUGGAAUUCCACGUGUAGCGGUGAAAUGCGUAGAGAUGUGGAGGAACACCAGUGGCGAAGGCGACUUUCUGGCCUAUAACUGACGCUGAGGCGCGAAAGCGUGGGGAGCAAACAGG